AUUGAACGCUGGCGGCAUGCUUUACACAUGCAAGUCGAACGGUAACAGGCCGCAAGGUGCUGACGAGUGGCGAACGGGUGCGUAAUGCAUCGGAACGUGCCCAGUCGUGGGGGAUAACUACUCGAAAGAGUAGCUAAUACCGCAUACGAUCUAUGGAUGAAAGCGGGGGACCGUAAGGCCUCGCGCGAUUGGAGCGGCCGAUGUCAGAUUAGGUAGUUGGUGGGGUAAAGGCUCACCAAGCCAACGAUCUGUAGCUGGUCUGAGAGGACGACCAGCCACACUGGGACUGAGACACGGCCCAGACUCCUACGGGAGGCAGCAGUGGGGAAUUUUGGACAAUGGGCGCAAGCCUGAUCCAGCAAUGCCGCGUGCAGGAAGAAGGCCUUCGGGUUGUAAACGGCUUUUGUACGGAACGAAACGGCUCUGGUUAAUACCCGGGGCUAAUGACGGUACCGUAAGAAUAAGCACCGGCUAACUACG
rnacentral:rRNA from 1 species